rnacentral:lncRNA from 1 species
CUAUCAUGUAUCGAUGCAGUAAAUUCUUAUGAUGUAUUAUACCCUGCAAAGCUGAUACUUAUCCAAUUGAAAUUAUGUUAGAUAAUCCAUAGGUAUAUUACCAAGUACCAAGUGUCUACAAGAAGUACUUGAUGCAAGGAAUGUUGAACUGGCCCGUACCGGCCACUUUAGCCCGUACUGAACCGGUCCAGUUUCUGACUAGGUCAGUGCGGCCACAGAAAACGGUCCCGGUUCCUACAAGGCUGGAACCGGCCGAUACAAGGCUGAACCUGAAGAACUGGACCGGUUCCGUCCGGUUCGGUGAGAACUUGAUGCGAACCGAAACCUAAUUCGGUUCGAUUUGCCAUAGCAUUAUGGUUGUGGCAUUAAAUGCCACAGCAAUGCCACAACAUGCUGUGGCUUGUUUGGCCGGUUCGGUACCGGUACCAAACUGGUCCAGUGGCCGACCAGUAUGCCGAUUGGUAACGGUUCGGCGAUUCUUGACUUGAUGGGUCAUACCAAUAUAUAACUUAGCACAUUUAUUAAGCCAAGCUAAUUUUUUCAAAAAAACAUAUCAUUACUUUUUAUCUAUUAAUGCUAAAAAUGUGCUAACAUGCGUUCUAAUGAUUUAGCUCUGCUCAUCACAUGAUUGUGUUUGAGAUGUCUCAUAACAAUUGGACUAAUCUGAUUACAAUUUCUUUUUCAAAUUCAUUGAUUGAUUUGUUCAAUCUUUCGUUCUUGCUUGCUGCAUGCAUGCUUUCUUUCCUUAGCUUACUUGCCCGAUAUAAAGUACAUAGAUCCAAAUAUCUUUCUCAUUGCCCCAAAAAUGGGAAAAAAAGGUGAUAUCAGAGAACUAGAUAACUAACAAAGAAUGAACAUGACACUGGCACGCUAUUUCCGCAUGUAACAGUCAAACAUAGCUUUCCACACCAACUCCCAUCCUAAUACAAUAACAAUAACUAUUAAACCUACCCGAACCAAGGGGUUCGAAAAUCACUAGGUUCAAUUAUAAAACCAUCGGUUCAAUUGUAAAACGCUUGGUUAUAACUCGUGAUGGUUCAAGCCCUUCCCCCAGUCUCAAGAUGUUUCAAGAGCAUCCCCCCUCCCUUGUUAGAGGAUCAAAAUGGU